GCCUGACUCUGAAUUAUUAGAUUUCUAAGGUAAUUAGAAAUCCGAUUAAACGUUUAUUCUUCCACGGUUGACUGCUUCGUGCAGAUUUGCUUUUUAUCGCACGGUCAGCUAGUAUGGCAUCCCUGAAUAGUGAUUUUCACGAAAUCUUUUCUUUUGGUGGUUGUUAUUGCCAAUCGAUAAUACGACGCGCUGUAAGUUAAUCACAUUUUAUUCUUGAGAAAUUAACAGUAUCCUUUGUACGAAAGUGUGAUGGUAACCAGUGACGUAGUUGUCCAUUUAGUCUAGUGUUAACAUUUUUACAACUUUUGACUUAUUGGCCUAGAAAAGAGAAAUAUUUUAAAAAUAGCUGACUGUCCUUCAAACGGUUCGAAAUGGAAAAUGUAUUCAUUCACCGAAGAAACGAGUCAAAUGACUCAGAUGUCAAUUGUUAUAAAACCCAUCCCCAGCGACCUCAACCUGCAGAAGG